rnacentral:misc_RNA from 1 species
GAAAUGCGAUAAGUAAUGUGAAUUGCAGAAUUCAGUGAAUCAUCGAAUCUUUGAACGCACAUUUCGCCCCCUGGUAUUCCGGGGGGCAUGCCUGUUCGAGCGUCAUUUCACCACUCAAGCCUCGCUUGGUAUUGGGCGACGCGGUCCGCCGCGCGCCUCAAAUCGACCGGCUGGGUCUUUCGUCCCCUCAGCGUUGUGGAAACUAUUCGCUAAAGGGUGCCGCGGGAGGCCACGCCGUAAAACAACCCCAUUUUCUAAGGUUGACCUCGGAUCAGGUAGGGAUACCCGCUGAACUUAAGC